rnacentral:rRNA from 1 species
AUUGAACGCUGGCGGAAUGCUUUACACAUGCAAGUCGAACGGCAGCACGGACUUCGGUCUGGUGGCGAGUGGCGAACGGGUGAGUAAUGUAUCGGAACGUGCCCAGUCGUGGGGGAUAACGUAGUGAAAAUUACGCUAAUACCGCAUACGACCUAUGGAUGAAAGCGGGGGAUCGAAAGACCUCGCGCGAUUGGUGCGGCCGAUAUCAGAUUAGGUAGUUGGUGGGGUAAAGGCCCGCCAAGCCAACGAUCUUUAGCUGGUCUGAGAGGACGACCAGCCACACUGGAACUGAGACACGGUCCAGACUCCUACGGGAGGCAGCAGUGGGGAAUUUUGGACAAUGGGCGAAAGCCUGAUCCAGCCAUUCCGCGUGCAGGAUGAAGGCCCUCGGGUUGUAAACUGCUUUUGUACAGAACGAAAAGGUUUCUACUAAUACUAGGAGCUCAUGACGGUACUGUAAGAAUAAGCACCGGCUAACUACGUGCCAGCAGCCGCCGUAA